GCGUUGCGAGGAAUUACUGGGCGUAAAGGGCGCGUAGGCGGACAAUUAAGUCGGGGGUGAUAGCCCGGGGCUCAACCUCGGAAUUGCCUUCGAUACUGGUCGUCUUGAGUACGGGAGAGGUGUGUGGAACUCCGAGUGUAGAGGUGAAAUUCGUAGAUAUUCGGAAGAACACCAGUGGCGAGGGCGACACACUGGCCCGUUACUGACGCUGAGGCGCGAAAGCGUG
rnacentral:rRNA from 1 species